AACACAUCAACAGAAACUUCCUGUAAAUUGGCAUUGGCAUUGAGCCCCUUCUCAGUGGUUCUUCACUUGAGUCCAAACACUCACACACGCAAAGACACAUCGUAACAGCAAACAGGCAACGUCAACAAAUCUCAUUUCAGAAUGUCAAACCAGGUGAUCUCAGCUGACAACGCUACAGUCGUCAUCCAAAUAAAUCCACUGAUAGGGCAAGAAAGUGCUGAAGGACAAGAUAAGAGAGGAACUUAUGCACCCCUCCAAGGGUUUCUUAAAGUACAACCAAAGACACUAGGGUCUGUGCAGAUUGUGACUGGAGUGGUGACCCUCCUGACCAAUAUUGUGCUCACCACUCAAGUCCCCAAAUAUUCUUUACCAGUCUUAAGUGUAAACUUCUUGGGGUCCUUCAUUUACAUCUUGGCUGGUUCUCUGUCUGUUGUUGCGGAAAAUAAACUCCAUUCCUGUGUGGU